rnacentral:rRNA from 1 species
UGGACCUGGUCAGCGCAACAGCUAUUAACUGUUACGGGUUCCUGGGUCCUGACAGCGGUUUACAACCCGAAAGCCUUCAUCCCGCACGCGGCGUCGCACCGUCACGCUUUCGCGCAUUGGCGAAUGAUUCAGC